UGAGGAAUAGCAUAACGGAAGUGCAUCGAACUCUAAAUUCGUAAGGUGCCUGUUCGAAUCAGGCUUCCUCUGCC
rnacentral:tRNA from 1 species